UUGCUCUAUCUUCGAGCUCAUCCUCCUA
rnacentral:sRNA from 1 species